AGAGUUUGAUCCUGGCUCAGGACGAACGCUGGCGGCGUGCUUAACACAUGCAAGUCGCACGGGACUGGGGGCAACUCCAGUUCAGUGGCGGACGGGUGCGUAACACGUAAGCAACAUGUCCAAGGGUGGGGGAUAGCCGGCCCAACGGCCGGGUAAUACCGCAUGCAGUCACCGCUGGCAUCUACGGUGACGAAAGCCGGGGCAACCUGGCGCCCAUGGAGUGGCUUGCGGCCUAUCAGCUAGUUGGUGGGGUAACGGCUCACCAAGGCGACGACGGGUAGCUGGUCUGAGAGGAUGACCAGCCACAUUGGGACUGAGACACGGCCCAGACUCCUACGGGAGGCAGCAGUGGGGAAUAUUGCGCAAUGGGCGAAAGCCUGACGCAGCGACGCCGCGUGUGGGAUGAAGGUCUUCGGAUCGUAAACCACUGUCAGAGGGGACGAAUGCCGGGCGUUAACUGCGACCCGGCUGACGUACCUCGAGAGCCCG
rnacentral:rRNA from 1 species